rnacentral:rRNA from 1 species
AAACGACUCUCGGCAACGGAUAUCUCGGCUCUCGCAUCGAUGAAGAACGUAGCGAAAUGCGAUACUUGGUGUGAAUUGCAGAAUCCCGUGAACCAUCGAGUCUUUGAACGCAAGUUGCGCCCCAAGCCAUUAGGCCGAGGGCACGUCUGCCUGGGUGUCACGCAUCGUUGCCCCACAAACCCCUUCCUAGGGGAUCGUUGCGCGGGCGAAAAAUGGCCUCCCGUGCGCUGCCCGCUCGCGGUUGGCCCAAAUUCGAGCCCCUCGGCGACCGUGCCGUGAUGAUCGGUGGUGAAAGAAGCCUCUCGAACUCCCAUCGCGUGCUCGUGUCCUCGUGUUACGGCUCACAGACCCUUCGAGUGCCUUCUAUUCCGGCACUGCUCGCUUUGCGACCCCAGGUCAGGCGGGACUACCCGCUGAGUUUAAGCAUAUCAAUAAGCGGAGGAAAAGAAACUUACCAGGAUUCCCCUAGUAACGGCGAGCGAACCGGGAAGAGCCC